UUCUUAUAAUCUUCUUAUAAUUCUUAUAUUCCUGUUAAAUCACAUGUUAGUAUCAUGUCACAGGCUGAAAACCCACAUGAUGUUUUUCUCUUCGCUGUCAGAGCUGUUUGUUGCUUUGUUGGGACACUGUCUCUUUAAGUCAGAUCCCGCGGGAGUUCCGGUGUUCCCGCCAAACGUCACAAACCCGGAAGUAGUCGUGCCGUCAAAAAGCGAGUGAGGGCUGAGGAUCUGUAAUCACGUGUUCACCUCUGCGUGGUUUACCUGUGUGAUGUUUCCAGGGAACUGAACCGUGUAGGAGGUGAGAUGGGACCUGUUGGAGUCCAGGUGUGUUGACUGCACUGGAGUCAAAGAACCACAGUUCAGCCAUUUUUGUGUGAACCACAAUAUGCUGCGGAGGAGAUUUCUCCCGAGGAGACGAGGAGCUGUGAGUCGAGCAGACGCCACCGGGGACGAUGUUCUGGUGGAUGGAGGCGGCGACAGAAGCUCGGGCUGGUUUGUUCCAAAGCACAUGUCGUCAGGAACGGCUUCCCCUCUGCUCCUGGACCCUCUUCAUCACCGAGGGCGUCGUCUUAUCCACCCAAAUCCAUCAGAACGCUGGAAGAUGAAUGGGCGCCGUGUGUCUGGAGUUCAUUUGUGCAUCGCUCCAGAGAACGAAGUUGCCCUGUGAACUUCAGGAAGCCAUAAUGAAAUGGGAGAAGUUAAAGCCUCCGGAGCCAGAUGAUCCCAUGUGCUGCUGCGAGUGUGAUAUCUACCAGUACGGAUGCUGCUCUGACUGAGCAGGUUA